rnacentral:tRNA from 1 species
GCUCGCGUGGCGUAAUGGCAACGCGUCUGACUUCUAAUCAGAAGAUUGUGGGUUCGACCCCC